rnacentral:ncRNA from 1 species
UAUCUUCGGGGCAGGGUGUAAUUCCCGACCGGCGGUAAUGAGAUAUUUUUCUCUAAAGCCCGCGAGCCACUAAUAAGCAUGGAGUUGUAUUCGAGAAGAAAUGCUUCUUGAAUAUAGACAAAUGCUUUGGCAGGAUUUGGUGCAAUUCCAAAGCCGACAGUAUAGUCUGGAUGGGAGAAGAUG